AUAUCGUUAUGAUAAGUUAAUAUAUUUAUGUUGAAAAAUAUAUUUACCUAUUUCUUUAAAUUUUUUAUUGUUUUUUAUAGGUUUAAAAAUAUUUUUAAAUUAAAAAAAAAAAGAAAAAUACAGUCGAAUUAAGAACCUCCUCCUUUUUUAGAAGUCGGUUAAAAAUCAGUCUGAUACGUAUUAUUAUUUUCUGUUGGUGUACAAUAAAGUGUAUUGUUAUGUUAUGUCAUGUCAAUCAACCACUCUUAAAAAAA
rnacentral:misc_RNA from 1 species